UGUGCAUUCACUGUAAUCAAC
rnacentral:piRNA from 1 species